GUGGGGAAUCUUAGACAAUGGGGGCAACCCUGAUCUAGCCAUGCCGCGUGAGUGAUGAAGGCCUUAGGGUUGUAAAGCUCUUUCAGUAGGGAAGAUAAUGACGGUACCUACAGAAGAAGCCCCGGCUAACUUCGUGCCAGCAGCCGCGGUAAUACGAAGGGGGCUAGCGUUGUUCGGAUUUACUGGGCGUAAAGCGCACGUAGGCGGAUUGGUCAGUUAGAGGUGAAAUCCUGGAGCUCAACUCCAGAACUGCCUUUAAUACUGCCAGUCUAGAGUCCAGAAGAGGUGAGUGGAACUCCUAGUGUAGAGGUGGAAUUCGUAGAUAUUAGGAAGAACACCAGUGGCGAAGGCGGCUCACUGGUCUGGUACUGACGCUGAGGUGCGAAAGCGUGGGGAGCAAACAGGAUUAGAUACCCCUGUAGUCC
rnacentral:rRNA from 1 species